rnacentral:lncRNA from 10 species
CCCAACCUGACUGCUGUGUUCUGCCCUGAGUCUGCAGAGGCUGACCCUGGCCAGGAAAGUGGUUGGAAAAGCAUUUUUGCAGAGAGGCAGCCUGAAGGUGGUGGCUCUAUGUAAGUGUGCACCCUUGGUUGGAAAGGCUGAAGGUCAGGAAUGGUAUUAGGAGAAAGUUCCCCCUUUCUCCUUUGUCCCUCCUUCCUGCCCCUGGACACAGGCUUGAGGAUCUGCAUCUGGCUGGCUCACCCUUCCUGCACAACUUUUCUAUUCAAGUUUUUCAGGGCAGGGCUUUAAGAAACACUUCAGGUUAAUUAUAGCCAGGGGUCAUUUUCUAUACAAGCGGGACAAACUUGAUGUGACUACAGGGCUGUCUCCAGGGCUGAUUCAUUCGACCUAGAAAACUGCCCCUAGGGAAACAGCCUCAGAAUCUUGCCUGCAGCUCUGGAAGUGGUAAUGGGCCCACCUGUCUCCCUGCCCAUCAUCUCACAUCUGGGGGAAUGUCUUGGCUAGCAGCAUGGCCCUGAGUGAGGGGUUUAGGUAAACAAGGUGUGACUGGGAUUGGAAGAGUCACAAACCUGUUUGUUAGAGCAAUGCUGAAGAGUUUCAGGAAAAGAAUUUCAUCAAGGCUGGCACAUCUGUCCUCAGACACUUGAAGGAUUCCCUGGAGGAAGGAGGACUGAACUUGCCCUACAAGAUCCUGCGGGGCAAAGAACUGUAAGCAGAGACAAAAUGAAAGCCCUCUAGGCCCACAAUUGAUUCUAACGGCUGUGAGGGAAUGAGCUUCAACUACUGUUGAUGGGAGGGACUGUGUGCCAGGCACUGUGCUAGGGACUCUCAUGCAUGAUCUCAUUCAUCUUCUGCAUAACCCAAUGAGGUAUGAUCUACUAUCAAGUGUCUACAUUUGUAUUGGAUUGGUAUGUGUGCCCAACAAAGAAAGUGUCAUUUUUCCUUGGGAAUGAAAUCACAUCAUUUGUGAAGACUUAGUAGAGGCUAAAUGAGUACAAGCAGCAUUUACCUUAUUAAACAGAUAUUUUCAACAUUUAAAACAGUCUGACCAUCAAUGAUGAUGUUCAAAAACAUCUCAAGAUGUUUUAGAGCUAAAGCAAAUGAGAAAAUAUAGUAAAGGGCUGAUUCCUGUGGAUAUUCUGCAAAGGAAAGUAACAUGGUGGAGUGGAAGUGGGAUAAGGUUUGAAGCCAAAAGACCUGGUGGGCUUAAGGUCUCCAUUUAUUGGUUGUGUGACCUUGGAUAAGCCACUUCACCUCCUGGUGAGACUUGGGCAAAAUGGAGAUCAUAUUAAUCACCUCACAGUUUGUUACGCAUUGAGUAAAUGCACAUGUAAGCAUUAUUGACUGUAAAUGAUUAUGCAUAUUUUAAUUAUGGUAUAUCCAAGCCUGAUUUUUCAUCCAGUGCUUACAGUGCCCUGGGCAUAAUACUCAUUCAAUAAACAUUUGUUUGAUGAUAGAGUAAUAAAUGAAUAUGUGAUGCAGAAGUUUUAAAAAUAUUUUUGCUGCUGUCUGACUCAUUUAUAGACAUUUAUAAAAUUGAGGAUUUGUAAGUUGUCCCUGGACAAUCAGAUCUCUUGAUUCAAAGGUGAAAGAUAAUCAUUCAGGUUUUCAAGUUUUUCCUGAUAUGAGACAUUAACUGGCAGGGCUGAUUAUGAGAAAUUGUCAUUAUCCUGCUCAAAUAUAAGAUCAUAGAUUUGGGAAACCUUAGAAAUAAUUACCUUCUUUUCAAAUAUGAGGAAACUGAAGCCCAGAGGCUCUAAGAAAUCAGGGACUUUAUAUAAUUUUUUCAUUUCUCUAGCUCUAGGGUAAUUGUAGAUAGAUAUACAACAAGUAUGUUUUUAAAAGUAUAUUUUUCAAGAAUUAUGCUAAGCACUGGGGAAAUAAACAUUAACAAGACAAAACCCUCCCCUUUGAGGAACUGAUAAUCUAGACAGACAUGAAAACCAGGAAGUGUGCUAUCAGUUAUAUUAAUGUUGUACAGAGUUCUAGUGGCAAGAGGGAACUGCCAAGGGAAAUCUGAGAGGAGGUGUUUACCCUGCGUAAACACCUUGCUGUUUAGCUUGGCAUCCCUAGAAGCAGACCCUGAGGACAGUGGGAAAAUGGAUUAUUAAGGAAGUGCUCCUGAGAGAAACCAGAAAGGGGGUGUAGGGAGCAAGGGAGGAUAAGGAGAAGACUCCAGUAAGGAUGAGAUUACUCAAGUCCCAUGGAAGACAGGUUAGCCUGAUCCUGCAGGGGAGCCCUGGAGGCACAUGCCUGAAAGGCAGUCUUGGAGCAGCUGCCUCAUGUUGGAGGAAAAACACUGAAGUGGGAUGAGAAGAUGUGAGUUCCGGUCCCAGAUCUGAUUUGUUUGGCACAUAAGUUUGGGGGGACCUCACAAGAUUCUUGCAACAGGGCAGUGAUUCUUUAGCAAUGUCUUUGUAUGCCUGGACUCAGAGCCACCCAGAGGAGCCACAGGAGGGUCCCUCACCCUCUGCGCCCACGAGACUCUGCUACCAGUGCCCUCUUCCACCCAAAGCACUAAGUCAAUGAAGACAGUCUCUGUUCUCAGGCACAUAUCUGCCCUCCAUGAGGCUGAAUAGAGCCCAUUCUCCCUCUUCCAUACCUUUCAUCUCAAAGGAUUCCUGAGCACACAAUCCACUUUAUAGCCUGGUCCUCUACCAUUAGAUAAUAAAGGGUCUUUCACUGAUCUGUGCUGUUGAAAUGCCACCACCUCCACUAUGCAGCUGCUCUGGGCUGUACAGAAAGCAUCUCUCAAUCCUAGGUCAUUUAGAAUGUCAUAGCCUGAGGAGAAUUCAGAAGGACAUCGAGGUCUACAAGUUAUAGAAAAAGUGUGGACUUUUGCAAAAUGCACACACAAACCAAAACCAACUUUCCAACCAAUCCUCAGAAAACCAGACUGAAUCCAUUAAAAUGAUGUUGGUUUGUUUCGCAACGAAGAACCAGCUUUGACCCUGUCCAUUUUUUGUCCUACUCAAAGUGGUCUCUUUACCAUAAACAAAUAGGCCUCUUAAAGUGACAGUUGUAUAAAUAAAACUUGAGAGUGGUAGGAUAAACUUUACGUGGUCCUGUUGCCAAAUAACUAUGGAUAUUAGUAUGUUUUGCCUAAUUCAGAUCAAUGAAGGCCUCGCUAUGUGCGAGCUGGCUAGCAGCUGGGAGGCAAACAUGAGUUGUAGUUUCUGACCUCAGUGUCUGGUGGCACUACUGGGUGUGGAGACGCUGUACAAACACAUUUGUAUGUUCACAUUUCCUAUGUAAAAGAAAAGGGCUUGGGGUAGUGUCAGACCCCUGACUCUUCUUCUUCAUAACAGACAGGGCUCUCUACAGAGCACCCUUCUAGAGCAGCUUUAGCAACCAAGGGACAGACACCUCAGUCUGUUUUAAGUUUUCUCCUUCCUAUUGAAAGGAAGUCCAGAACAAAUUCAGGGAGGUUUUCAAUAAUUACUCAUCAACAAUCUCAUAGUCACAAUACUAAAAAAGACUGCUGACAUUUUGGUUUAUUUUCUAGUACUAGCUACAUCUGCACAUAACUUUUAUUAAGUUUUCUUUAAAAGGAUGAUUCAAAUUUUUGGUCGGUGUGGUUUAAAUUUUAUUUUUUUUAACUGCUCAAAUACAUGACCCAUAACAGAGGAAAUUUGAAGAGUGACUGUUCCACUGAUCUACCUAGGUGGGUCUAAUAUAAUUCUUAGAAUUCCUCACCACUUCACCUUUUUCAAGUUCGCUGUUUUUUUGUGGGUUUUAGCCCUCUUUAAGUCAAUAUGACUGUUUUACAGAAUCCUUUAGGAUCAUAAUGGGGAAAAGAGGAGAAAAAUUGUGGUGGCUUAAAAUGUAUUCACAUUUGUAGUUUCAGAUAACUAUAUAAAAGUCAAUCAUCAAUAAUUUGUUAAACACCAAUUUGUGCCGGAGUCGCUCUGGAAACUUGCCAGAAACAUGGGGACUUAACAUCUCUGGAAAGCCAGAAAUCAGAGAUACAGAGAAGUAUUGAAAUGCUGAAAUGCUAUGAAUUUACUAUAAGAGAACAUUCUUCACUGAAGAGAUCUCUAGCUGCCAAAACACCCUUUCAUGCGUGAAAUACCGGGGCAAAGAGGAAGGAAAAGAGAAGAGUAUGACUCUAGGAACCAUGUUGCAGAAAUGCCAAAGGGUGGGACAAACAAAUAUAUUUAUAACAUAAAUGAGAACCAAGAAGACAAACAAACCAAAUCUCUGGGGAACAGAAGCCACUCUACAAAGUCUUCACAACGGAGCUAAUAUUUGAUUUGCAUUUUGGAGGAGAAAUAGAAAUUUGCUCAAUGGACUGAAGUGUGGGCAGGAGAAAAAGGGAAUCCUUGGCAGAAACACCGUAACAUGGAAUGGUGAAAAACAAAACAAAAUACAAUGAGAUUAAGGAACUGCAGAAAUACUUCUAAACCUGGAACAUAGGGUAUAAAAAAGGAAGACUCAAGAUAUGGUUCCAAGUUCCUUAGACCGUGGCUAUAUCAUGAAGAGCCUUAGAUGGCAAAGUAAAAAGUUUGAAUUUUGUAUUUUAUGAUCCUUAAAGUGCCUAGGAAAAUAUUAACACAUAUGAGCUAUCCAUAUAAUCGUUCUUGAACUGAAAUUACAAGUAUAUAGAGUAUGUGUCAGGAGGCUCUGAACUGGUGCCUGUAACUUUAUGAUGAGCUUACUGUUUUAGCUGCUGGAACAUUUUAGCACCUUUCUUGACCUAUUAUUACAUAAGUUUUUGUUGCCUUUCAACUUUUCGGAGAACAAUUCUGCCAUUUCUUUUUGAGUUUGAGCAUUUUCCUACCUGCACAAAGGGAAGAUGAGGUAUGGGCUGUAAUGACUUUGGAAGAUCCAAAUAGCUAUCAUCUUGGCUGGAGAGAGGGUGACUUCCAAGCAAGGGCCUGUGCUCUGGCCUCACUCUCUGCGGCUCUGCAACAUGAGCCUCAGCAUCCCCUGUGCUACUCACUAGAAAGUGGACCUGACAGCUUUGGCAGGUAGAGCCUUGGGCUACAAAACCCUUCAGGCUGAGGUUGAAAAUAAGGGCUCCCUGUUCCAGGGGUUAUUGCUUGUUGCCCCCUGGGAAGUGGUGACUCACAUAAUCUGCAUCUCUGUUUUCAAUACACACCACAGAAAACUUCUUUCCUUUCUUCACCUUGAGUUGGUCAUCAGCAUGAAAAUCAGACAGAUCUUUCUAAUGUGUGUUCCUUAUAACAUCAGUUCCAAGGGAUGUUAAUCCAAUCAAGUUCCUGCAGUCAAAUAGGGCAGGACCAAGUUUAGACUUCUCAGACUCCUUAACAUUAUAAGAUACUUUCUAAAUCUCCAAGAAGAAUGGUGUUUUAAAAAUUGCUUUGAUUACAGAAGACUUUUCUUCCUGAGUCAAAAUUGAGAGUACUGAGUGUUCCAUGCAACACGUUUGGAACUUGAUGCUCAGUGCUCUUAUAGGCAUAGAGUAACAUGCAUAUUACAGUAUAUAAAUAAGUACUUAUUUACUUAGGAUGCAUGAGAAUAAACUAUUGCACAGAUAUGCAUUUUCUGGAUAACUGAACACAAACUCUGUUGAAUACUAGACUGUGCAUUAGUGUUACAUAUGUGGUGGGAUAACAUUUUGAUAACAUUUGAAAUAACUCCUUUUUUGAUUUUUUGUGCAUCCAUUUUUCCUUUCCCAAAGUUUUUUCUUCCCUGCAUUUCUCUUUCUUCCUUUCCCCAUUCCAAGCAGGGUCAGCCUUCUUUGGUUCAUUGUCUCAGAGUAAGAAGGUGUCAGGGUGGAAGGCCGAAGUAGCCUAUACGUCUGUCUGGCUUUUGUAUUCCUCAAACCGAGGCCUUUAGAACAACACAGAGAACUCACAGAGUAGGCAAACGAAAGAGGAUUUGGGGAUACAGAGCCAUGAAAAAAGAAGGGUAAUCCCCCAGAUUACAAAUAGUGGCACUGUUGGGCAGAGAGAGGAGAUAGGAGGGAGUGAAGAGGAGGUAGGGAGCGAAAGCAGGGGAGCCGAGGACAGAGGUAGAGGACGAGGACAAAAAGACAUCAUGAGGCUGGAAAGGAAACAGGCAUUGAGUGUGCACCCAGCCUGACUGUAAAGAAAGAUCUUUACCCUCUAAGACCAGGUCAGAGCAGCAGCGAGCCACAGCUGGUGUUGGGGAGCUGGCCAGCCACAGAGAGCUCACUACUAACCUGGGUGUGCACAUGGCCCAGGACCUGGUGACCUGCUCUCCACUUACCCCAAUGUUUUGACAUUAUUGACCCUUUCUUGGAAUCUCUGAUGGAACCUUAGAAUGGGUGGGAGGAUACUAUAAAAGCUUGAGAUUUGAAUUCCUAAUCAACUCGAUGAGAUAGGAGCCCCCAAUAGAAAUGAUUGGGAAUGAAAGAAAGUUAAAUUUCUUGAAAAUCUUGCUUUUAUAAAGCAUCAUGCAAUCUUUUCCAUGGUUGGGGCUGUCUCGCAGCCAGGUGCUGAGGGUCUGUUGAGGAGUGAGCACCUUUGCAGCCGUGCCAAUGUUGCAGGCCCCGGUGAUUUUGCAGUUUUUAUGUCUGCUUUUUAUGUAGCUUUCCUGUCGUAAGCCCGAAUUUCAUUUCUUGAUAAUUAUCAUAGGUAUACAUAGGUCUAAUUCUCUCCCUUUCCUCUCCAAAUUUGCUCCUUUCAUUGUGCUUUGGCCAGGAAACCAGAUAACAAAGCUUCUGAGAAUGAUGUAUAAAGGGAGAGGAAAUCAGUUCUGAGGGCUGGCUCAUUUUUCUCAUCUACAAAAUGACGGAGCUGUAAUAGAUCAUCACCAAGGUCCAGUCCAGCUUGCAC